GACGAACGCUGGCGGCGUGCUUAACACAUGCAAGUCGAACGCUGAAGCUUGGUGCUUGCCCUGGGUGGAUGAGUGGCGAACGGGUGAGUAAUACGUGAGUAACCUGCCCUUGACUCUGGGAUAAGCCUGGGAAACUGGGUCUAAUACUGGAUAUGACAUGCCACUGCAUGGGGGUGUGUGGAAAGGGUUUUACUGGUUUUGGAUGGGCUCACGGCCUAUCAGCUUGUUGGUGGGGUAAUGGCCUACCAAGGCGACGACGGGUAGCCGGCCUGAGAGGGUGACCGGCCACACUGGGACUGAGACACGGCCCAGACUCCUACGGGAGGCAGCAGUGGGGAAUAUUGCACAAUGGGCGGAAGCCUGAUGCAGCGACGCCGCGUGAGGGAUGACGGCCUUCGGGUUGUAAACCUCUUUCAGCACGGAAGAAGCGAGAGUGACGGUACGUGCAGAAGAAGCGCCGGCUAACUACGUG
rnacentral:rRNA from 1 species